rnacentral:rRNA from 1 species
UACGAACUGUGCAAACGUUAUUCGGAUUCACUGGGCUUAAAGGGUGCGUAGGCGGCCAUGUAAGUAGGGUGUGAAAUCCCCCGGCUUAACCGGGGAACUGCGCCCUAAACUGUGUGUCUUGAGUGAGAUAGGGGUGUGUGGAACUUCCGGUGGAGCGGUGAAAUGUGUUGAUAUCGGAAGGAACGCCGGUGGCGAAAGCGACACACUGGGUCUCAACUGACGCUGAGGCACGAAAGCCAGGGGAGCGAACGGG